CCGCGUGAGUGAUGAAGGUUUUCGGAUCGUAAAGCUCUGUUGCCAGGGAAGAACGUCUUAGAGAGUAACUGCUCUAAGAGUGACGGUACCUGAGAAGAAAGCCCCGGCUAACUACGUGCCAGCAGCCGCGGUAAUACGUAGGGGGCGAGCGUUGUCCGGAAUUAUUGGGCGUAAAGCGCGCGCAGGCGGCUGUUUAAGUCUGGUGUUUAAUCCUGGGGCUCAACCCCGGGUCGCACUGGAAACUGGACGGCUUGAGUGCAGAAGAGGAGAGUGGAAUUCCACGUGUAGCAGUGAAAUGCGUAGAGAUGUGGAGGAACACCAGUGGCGAAGG
rnacentral:rRNA from 1 species